UAGGGAAUAUUGCGCAAUGGGGGAAACCCUGACGCAGCGACGCCGCGUGAGUGACGAAGGACUUCGGUUCGUAAAGCUCUGUCGCAGGGGAAUAUUAUGAAGGUACCCUGUAAGAAAGGAUCGGCUAACUUCGUGCCAGCAGCCGCGGUAAGACGAGGGAUCCUAGCGUUGUUCGGAAUCAUUGGGCGUAAAGCGGGUGUAGGUGGCUUUAUAAGUCAGAUGUGAAAUCCCUGGGCUUAACCCAGGACGUGCAUUUGAUACUGUUGAGCUUGAGUGUGGGAGAGGUUAGUAGAAUUCCUGGUGUAGUGGUGAAAUACGUAGAUAUCAGGAGGAAUACCGGUGGCGAAGGCGGCUAACUGGCCCAACACUGACACUGAGACCCGAAAGCGUGGGUAUCAAACAGG
rnacentral:rRNA from 1 species